rnacentral:rRNA from 1 species
GACGAACGCUGGCGGCGUGCAUAACACAUGCAAGCCGAGGGGCAGCAUGGGCUUAGCUUGCUAAGCCCGAUGGCGACCGGCGCACGGGUGAGUAACACGUAUCCAACCUUCCGGUAACUCCGGUAUAGCCUUUCGAAAGAAAGAUUAAUCCCGGAUAGUAUGGUGAUUCCGCAUGGUUUCUCCAUUAAAGGAUUCCGGUUACCGAUGGGGAUGCGUUCUAUUGGGCAGUUGGCGGGGUAACGGCCCACCAAACCUACGAUGGAUAGGGGUUCUGAGAGGAAGGUCCCCCACAUUGGAACUGAGACACGGUCCAA